ACGCUGUCGGUUCACCGUUCGUCGGUGUUUAACUGGCAUGCUUGUGCGGACGUCCUGCCGGUGGAUGCGGUCGGCCGUGGACUUCGGUCUGCGUGUCGGCGGUCCUGUGGAAUCCUACCGCGGUGCUCUUCAACGAGUGUCGAGGUGGGCCGGCACAUUUACUUUGAACAAAUUAGAGUGCUUAAAGCAGGCAGUGGUGCGCCUGAAUAUUGUGUGCAUGGAAUAAUGGAAUAGGACCUCGGUUCUAUUUUGUUGGUUUUCGGAACAUGAGGUAAUGAUUAAGAGGGACAGACGGGGGCAUUCGUAUUGCGACGUUAGAGGUGAAAUUCUUGGAUCGUCGCAAGACGGACUAAAGCGAAAGCAUUUGCCAUGGAUGUUUUCAUUAAUCAAGAACGAAAGUUAGAGGUUCGAAGGCGAUCAGAUACCGCCCUAGUUCUAACCAUAAACGAUGCCAGCUAGCGAUCCGCCGGAGUUCCUCUGAUGACUCGGUGGGCAGCUUAUGGGAAACCAAAGCUUUCUGGUUCCGGGGGAAGUAUAGUUGCAAAGCUGAAACUUAAAGGAAUUGACGGAAGGGCACCACCAGGAGUGGAGCCUGCGGCUUAAUUUGACUCAACACGGGAAACCUCACCAGGCCCGGACACCGGAAGGAUUGACAGAUUUAGAGCUCUUUCUUGAUUCGGUGGGUGGUGGUGCAUGGCCGUUCUUAGUUGGUGGAGUGAUUUGUCUGGUUAAUUCCGAUAACGAACGAGACUCUGGCCUACUAAAUAGUCGCUUCCGGUAUAGUGGUGCUACCGGCGACAAAUGAUCUUCUUAGAGGGACAAGUGGCUUCUAGCCACACGAGAAUGAGCAAUAACAGGUCUGUGAUGCCCUUAGAUGUUCUGGGCCGCACGCGCGCUACAAUGAAGGAAUCAGCUUGUACUCCUAGCCCGAAAGGGCCGGGUAACCUGUUGAACCUCCUUCGUGAUGGGGACUGGGGCUUGCAACUGCAACCCAUGAACGAGGAAUUCCCAGUAAGCGCGAGUCAUAAGCUUGCGUUGAUUACGUCCCUGCCCUUUGUACACACCGCCCGUCGCUACUACCGAUUGAAUGGUUUAGUGAGGUCUUCGGACAGGCACGCGACGGCUCAUGUGGAGCUGGAGAUGUUGCCCGAAAGUUGACCAAACUUGAUCAUUUAGAGGAAGUAAAAGUCGUAACAAGGUUUCCGUAGGUGAACCUGCGG
rnacentral:rRNA from 1 species